AGCUCCCACCUCUGCAUCCUCUGGCCAGAAGAGGUAAAGCUCCCCCUGAGGUGAAGCUGCUGGGACAGAAAGCUCUGGGCAGGUGCUGUGCAGUGCCCCUCCUGCAGUGGCACCACAUGCCUGCACAGCAUCACUGCACCUGAGGAACACAGGUACUACAGGAGAGAAGAUAUUUUUCUUUGGCUGAAAUAGAUCCUUAAAAAAUAUAUUCUGAAAUAAGUGAGGAGAAAGGAGCCACGGUGCAAGAAAAUGUCCACAUUGAGGAUGCAGAUUCUGUUCUGCUUUGUCCCUGUUAAAGCCUGAAGUCCUUGUGCUGCUGUCCAUGAGUGUUAUAAAAGAGAAAAUUACCAAGUUGGAGGGUCAGAUGAGUAGAAAAUGACGAGCUGCUCAUUGGUGUGCUCAGCCUUGGCUGUGAUUGCAUCUGCUGCAGGUGAGGCCAAUCAUUCUGGGAGCCCUGGAAUGGCUGCACGGAGGGAAUUAGCUCUGAUGGAUAGUAAA